rnacentral:rRNA from 2 species
AGACCCGAAACCCGGUGAUCUAGCCAUGGGCAGGUUGAAGGUUGGGUAACACUAACUGGAGGACCGAACCGACUAAUGUUGAAAAAUUAGCGGAUGACCUGUGGCUGGGGGUGAAAGGCCAAUCAAACCGGGAGAUAGCUGGUUCUCCCCGAAAGCUAUUUAGGUAGCGCCUCGUGAAUUCAUCUCCGGGGGUAGAGCACUGUUUCGGCUAGGGGGCCAUCCCGGCUUACCAACCCGAUGCAAACUGCGAAUACCGGAGAAUGUUAUCACGGGAGACACACGGCGGGUGCUAACGUCCGUCGUGAAGAGGGAAACAACCCAGACCGCCAGCUAAGGUCCCAAAGUCAUGGUUAAGUGGGAAACGAUGUGGGAAGGCCCAGACAGCCAGGAUGUUGGCUUAGAAGCAGCCAUCAUUUAAAGAAAGCGUAAUAGCUCACUGGUCGAGUCGGCCUGCGCGGAAGAUGUAACGGGGCUAAACCAUGCACCGAAGCUGCGGCAGCGAACGUAUCACUUAAAGCGAUUCAGCGGGUUACGAUUGACGGAGCGAAGCGACGUCAAAGCGUAUACAAAGUCGAGUCGGUUUAAGGAUACGUUCGUUGGGUAGGGGAGCGUUCUGUAAGCCUGUGAAGGUGGCCUGUGAGGGUUGCUGGAGGUAUCAGAAGUGCGAAUGCUGACAUAAGUAACGAUAAAGCGGGUGAAAAGCCCGCUCGCCGGAAGACCAAGGGUUCCUGUCCAACGUUAAUCGGGGCAGGGUGAGUCGACCCCUAAGGCGAGGCCGAAAGGCGUAGUCGAUGGGAAACGGGUUAAUAUUCCCGUACUUGGUGUUACUGCGAAGGGGGGACGGAGAAGGC